rnacentral:tRNA from 1 species
AAAAUACUACAUUAAUAAAAAAAUAAAACUUCAAAUUUUAUAUAUAUAGGUUAAAAUCCUGUGUAUUUUG